AUGGCUGUGGCAUCUCAUCCGCUGCUCUCUUGCUCCUUCUCCGUCGCCUCCCCGAACCAUCCAAUCCUUCGACUCCUUCGCCGCCCUCUGAAAUCCUCCACCUCCAAAUGCUUCCUCCAUUCCCCGCGGCGGCGUCACCAACCAGUCGCCCGCCAGCCAGACGACGACGAGCAUGACGGAGAAGAGGAUAUGUGGAGCCCGGCUACCAGCCCCCCGAGAGCCCACCUCGUCGACACCUUGGAUGACGAAAAGGGCGGCCAUGGAUGGGGUCCACCCAAUGGCGACGGCGCAGAGGAGGGAGAGCAGCUCCAAGAAUACGAGGUGGGUGAGUGGGAUCCACCUGCCAGCCCGUCCCGAGCGCAGGCCCAGGAACAGCAUCGACAAGAUGAGGAGGAGGAAGAGGAAGAAGAAGAAGACGGCGGGGACUGCCCGUGGCUGGACCCGAGCUACUUGCGAAGUCAAGAAGGGGCAAGCACCAACACCACUGCGGCUAUGGAGGAAAUUCUCGCCUUUGCGAGGAGUCCAGUGGCGGCGGACGGCCCUGGGCUCGCUGGGUUCUUGGCUGGUUACAGCCGCGGUGCACUCGGCGAGGACGAGUGCGUGGAGUUGAUGAGGAGGAUGGGUGAGGAGCGCCUGGCGUUGGGGUGCCUCCACUUGUUCCGGUGGAUGCGGGCGCUUGAGGAGCGGCCGAUUUCGUUGUCGCCGCAGGCAUGGUUGGUGGCUCUCGUGGUGCUUGGACGGGCACGGAUGGCUGAUGAAAUCUUGGAGAUUCUGGGAAGGGAGAGGGGAUUUCGUGAGGCGGUUCUGUACAAUGCUGCAAUGUCUGGUGUUGCCUACUGUGGAAGAUAUGAUGAUGCCUGGAAAAUAUUUGAGAGUAUGGAGAAGAACAAUGUCCAACCUGACCACAUAACAUCCUCAAUCAUGUUAAUGGUAAUGAAGAGGCGCAAAGCAUCAGCCAAGGAUUCAUGGGAGUCCUUCCAACGAAUGAACAGAAAAGGUGUCAAGUGGAGCUUGGGUGUCUCUGCUUCUCUAAUUAAGAUAUUUUGUGAUGAGGGGCUGAAGAAAGAAGCACUUAUCUUCCAAUCAGAAAUGGAGAAGAGAGGAAUUCUGUCAAACACGAGCAUUUAUAACGCAAUAAUGAAUGUAUAUUGCAAAUGCAGUCAAAUUGAAGAAGCUGAGGGCCUCUUUGCUGAGAUGAAAGACAAAGGCUUAAAACCAACAAGGGUGACUUAUAAUAUCCUUAUGGAUGCUUACAGUAGAAGAUUGCAGCCAGAAGUUGUUGAAUCGUUACUUCUGGAAAUGCACGAUUUGGGAUUUCAGCCAAAUGCUAGGUCAUACAGCUGCCUCAUAAGUGCCUAUGGGCGGCAGAAAAAAAUGAGCGAAAAGGCUGAAUAUGCUUUCCUGAGGAUGAAGAAAGGUGGCAUCAAGCCAACAUCUUCUUCGUACACAUCACUGAUUUGUGCAUAUGCAGUGAGUGGACAGCAUGAAAAAGCCCACACUGCAUAUUUCGAUAUGAAAAGAGAAGGGCUUAAACCUUCCUUAGAAACAUAUACAGCUUUGCUUGACAUGUUUAGGAGGGCUGGUAACAUAGAGAAGUUAAUGGAGACAUGGAAAUCAAUGACCGAUGAAAAGGUUGGAUGCACUAGAGUCACAUUUCACAUGGUACUUGAUGGUUUGGCGAAACAUGGGUUGUAUGUUCAGGCAAGAGAUGUAAUAUGUGAGUUUGGAAACAUAGGUUUACCUCCUACGGUGAUGACCUACAACAUAUUGAUGAAUGCUUAUGCAAAGGGAGGACAGCAUUACAAAUUGCCCCAACUCCUGAAAGAGAUGUCUACUCUGGAACUAAAACCAGAUUCAGUUACAUAUUCUACAAUGAUAUACGCAUAUGCUCGCGUCCGCGACUUUUCGAGAGCAUUCUAUUACCACAAGCAGAUGGUUCGAAAUGGACAACUGCCUGAUGCUAAGUCAUACAGAAAGCUGUUGAAUACCUUGGAUGUGAAAUCUGCAAGGGAAAACAUAAAGGAUAAGAGUGCCAUUGCAGGAGUUGUAAAAGGAAAAUCUAGCUUAAAACAUAGGAAGGAAAAGAAGGAUGAAUUUUGGAAGAACAGUAAAAAGAGGUCUAUGACCCAAGUUAAUGGAUACCAGAGAAAAAGAUUUUUGUGA
rnacentral:rRNA from 1 species